rnacentral:rRNA from 1 species
AUUGAACGCUGGCGGCAGGCCUAACACAUGCAAGUCGAGCGAGCGGCGGACGGGUGAGUAAUGUAUGGGGACUGCCCGAUAGAGGGGGAUAACUACUGGAAACGGUAGCUAAUACCGCAUACUAUCGGAUAACCCAUAUGGGAUUAGCUAGUAGGUGAGGUAAUGGCUCACCUAGGCGACGAUCCCUAGCUGGUCUGAGAGGAUGACCAGCCAAACUGGGAGUGAGACACGGCCCAGACGCCAAGGGAGGCAGCAGUGGGGAAAAGUGCACAAUGGGGGAGAGCCUGAUGCAGCCAUGGCGCGUGGAGGAAGAAGGCCCUAGGGUUGUAAAGUACUUUCAGGCGGGAGGCGUUACCGACAGAAGAAGCACCGGCUAACUCCGUGACAGCCGCCGCGGUAAUAC